rnacentral:rRNA from 1 species
AUGCUUUGGAAGAAGCUUGUACAGUUUGGGAAGGGGUUUUUUGAGAGAAAAGAAGAAUCUACUUCAACCGAUAUGCCCUUAGGCACGGCCAUGCAUAACAUAGAAAUCACACGUGGAAGGGGUGGGAAAUUAGCUAGAGCAGCAGGUGCUGUAGCGAAACUCAUUGCAAAAGAGGGUAAAUCGGCCACUUUAAGAUUACCAUUUGGGGAGGUCCGUUUAGUAUCCCAAAACUGCUUAGCAACAGUCGGACAAGUGGGUAAUGUUGGGGUGAACCAAAAAAGUUUGGGUAGAGCCGGAUCUAAGUAUUGGCUAGGUAAACGCCCCGUAGUAAGAGGGGUAGUUAUGAACCCUGUGGACCACCCCCAUGGGGGCGGUGAAGGGAAAGCUCUCAUUGGUAGAAAAAAAACCCACAACCCCUUGGGGUUAUCCUGCGCUUGGAAGAAGAACUAG